CAGCCGCCGCGGGAAUACGGAGGGUGCAAGCGUUAAUCGGAAUUACUGGGCGUAAAGCGCACGCAGGCGGUCUGACAAGUCAGAUGUGAAAUCCCCGGGCUUAACCUGGGAACUGCAUUUGAAACUGUCAGGCUGGAGUCUUGUAGAGGGGGGUGGAAUUCCAGGUGUAGCGGUGAAAUGCGUAGAGAUCUGGAGGAAUACCGGUGGCGAAGGCGGCCCCCUGGACAAAGACUGACGCUCAGGUGCGAAAGCGUGGGGAGCAAACAGGAUUAGAGACCCGCGUAGUCCCUGUCUCUUAUAC
rnacentral:rRNA from 1 species